GCUGAGAUGGUGUAGUUGGUUAUCACGUCUGUCUAACAGUACGACGCCGUCAAAGGUGUUUAAGCUGCGCACAGAAGGUCCCGAGUUCAAGUCUCGGUCUUAGUA